UUAAUUACUUAUAUCAGUAGGUGA
rnacentral:siRNA from 1 species